rnacentral:misc_RNA from 1 species
UCUCCGUAGGUGAACCAGCGGAGGGAUCAUUACCGAGUGUGAGACUCUCAGGCCCGCCCUCGAACCCAGUGAUUCUGUCACCUUGUUGCCUUCGCGGGCCCGCCUCGCUGAGAGCCCGCCGGAAGCUCCCCGCUUUGGGCCCAUGCCUUUCAGUAUCACCCUUACAUUCUUUAAACAAAUCUCAUCUGUGUGUAAAGACUUAAUAAAAAAAAACUUUCAACAACGGCACUCUUGGAUCUCGCAUCGGUGCAGAACGCCACACAUCGGAACAGCAGACGC